AAAGAUAUCUGGUUGAUCCUGCCUGAACUGAUGUGUUUAUUUCAAAGAUUAAGCCAUGCAUGUAUAAGUUUAAUCGUUUAUCGAGAAACCGCGAACGGCUCAUUACAAUGGCCAUUAUUUACUUGAUCUUGAUUGUCUAAAUGGAUAACUGUGGAAAAGCUAGAGCUAAUACAUGCACUAAAGCUUUGUCCUUACGGAAAAGCGCAUUUAUUAGAACAAAACCACGCGGCUUCGGCUGCUUCUUGUUGACUCAGAAUAACUUAGCUGACCGCAUGGCCUUGUGCCGGCGGCGUGUCUUUCAAGCGUCCACUUUAUCAACUUGACGGGAGCAUAAUCGACUCCCGUGGUGGUGACGGAUAACGGAGGAUCAGGGUUCGACUCCGGAGAAGGGGCCUGAGAAAUGGCCACUACGUCUAAGGAUGGCAGCAGGCGCGCAAAUUACCCACUCUCGGCUCGAGGAGGUAGUGACGAGAAAUAACGAGACUGUUCUCUUUGAGGCCGGUCAUCGGAAUGGGUACAAUUUAAACCCUUUAACGAGUAUCAAGCAGAGGGCAAGUCUGGUGCCAGCAGCCGCGGUAAUUCCAGCUCUGCAAAUACAUAGAAUUAUUGCUGCGGUUAGAAAGCUCAUAGUUGGAUUCGUAUCGAUACCUUGGAACCCUUCGGGUGUCUCUAGGUGUUAUCGAUUUAUCGUAAUGUUCGGUUUUGAGUCCUUAACAGGAUUCUUAACAGGCAUUGCAAGUUUACUUUGAACAAAUCAGAGUGCUUCAAACAGGCGUUUUCGCUUGAAUGAUCGUGCAUGGAAUAAUAGAAAAUGAUUUCGGUUCAGUUUUAUUGGUUUUACGGACUGAGAUAAUGGUUAACAGAGACAAACGGGGGCAUUUGUAUGGUCCCGUGAGAGGUGAAAUUCUUGGACCGUGGCCAGACAAACUACAGCGAAAGCAUUUGCCAAGAAUGUUUUUAUUAAUCAAGAACGAAAGUCAGAGGUUCGAAGGCGAUCAGAUACCGCCCUAGUUCUGACCGUAAACGAUGCCAACUAGCGAUCCGCCGAUGGAAAUUAUAUUGCCUUGGUGGGGAGCUUCCCGGAAACGAAAGUCUUCCGGUUCCGGGGGAAGUAUGGUUGCAAAGCUGAAACUUAAAGGAAUUGACGGAAGGGCACCACCAGGAGUGGAGCCUGCGGCUUAAUUUGACUCAACACGGGGAAACUCACCCGGCCCGGACACUGUGAGGAUUGACAGAUUGAUAGCUUUUUCAUGAUUCAGUGGAUGGUGGUGCAUGGCCGUUCUUAGUUCGUGGAGUGAUUUGUCUGGUUUAUUCCGAUAACGAGCGAGACUCUAACCUACUAAAUAGUUGGUACAUACUCUUAGUGUAUACAGCUUCUUAGAGGGAUUUGCGGCGUUCAGCCGAAAGAAAUUGAGCAAUAACAGGUCUGUGAUGCCCUUAGAUGUCCGGGGCUGCACGCGCGCUACACUGGCAAAAUCAACGUGCUUGUCCUACCCUGAAAGGGCGGGUAAACCAUUGAAAAUUUGCCGUGAUUGGGAUCGGAAAUUGCAAUUAUUUUCCGUGAACGAGGAAUUCCAAGUAAGUGCGAGUCAUCAGCUCGCGUUGAUUACGUCCCUGCCCUUUGUACACACCGCCCGUCGCUGCCCGGGACUGAGCCAUUUCGAGAAAUUUGGGGACCGUUGAUUUAAUUUUUCUAAAUUACUUUGAUGGAAACCAAUUUAAUCGCAGUGGCUUGAACCGGGCAAAAGUCGUAACAAGGUAGCUGUAGGUGAACCUGCUGCUGGAUCAUUACUUUA
rnacentral:rRNA from 1 species